ACAUAACUAUCUGUUAGCGAUAAUUUCAGUGCUUGUAGAGAAUACCUUACUGAAAACCGCUUGUCAUUUCCUUCUGCUCCUUGUUGGGUUUGACACUCUUACUUAUCGAAAGGACUACGAUAGAUCCCCUAUACUUGUGGGUCAUCACCAUCCAACGGCCGUCAUGCUUCUUCAACCUCUGGUCUUCUUGCUCCAGCCGCCCAAAGCAGCGCAGGUCGUGUCACCCGCUCCUGCCUCCCGUGGCUGGAUGUGCUGCCAUGGAGGCCUCACCGUCCCCUACUACUCCCACCGCUGGCCAGGCCAUCCCUCCACUCACCCGCACCCCCUAUUAUUCUGUGACGAUGACAGCCUCACACCGAAGCCGAACCAGUGAACCCUCGUACUCCUCUCCAUGUGGGCAUCCACUGCCAUGUCAUCACUAGCUCCGUGUAGUCCCCUUCCUAGGCCUCGCCGUCAUCCACCACCCUGGUGCUCUCGACGCGGCGUGAACAUGGUCAAGGAACGACUUCCAUCGGACGUGGACUGUACGUGGAGAGGCUGACAGCUGGGUCCACGACCACACACAAGGAAAUGCCUCCUUAUUAUGCGCAAAAUAAUGAUUCCUCCACCUGACAUCUGGGACCCGCCGGAAGGGCCUUUGUAUUUCACAAAAAAAUGUUCCCCCCGCUGACAGGUCGGACCCACCAGCUAUAUCUUCGCACGCAAGGAAGUGCCUCCUUAUUACGCACAAAAAAAUGAAUACUCCCCCUGCUAGCUGGGACCCAUCAUAGUGGGAGGCUGACUUGUGGGCCUACUAAGUUGACGGGGACGGAGGGCUUUGUCAACUUAGUCAAUAUGAACGAUUCUAGCUCCAGUGACCGUACGAUGUCCAUCCAACGGCCGUAGUGCUUCUUCAACCUCUGCUCUUCUUGCUCUAGCCGCCCAAAGCAGCGCCGGUCGUGCCGCCUGCUCCUGCCUCCCAUGGCCGGCUGUGCUACCGUAGAGGCCUCACCGCCCCCUACUACUCCCACUGCUGGCCAGGCCAUCCCUCCACUUACCCACACCCCCUGUUAUUCUGCGACGACAACAGCCUCAAUCGCAACCGAACCAGUGAACCCUCAUACUCCUCUCCGCGUGGGCAUCCACUGUCGCAUCUUCCCCGGCUCCGCAUCGUCCCCUUCCUAGGCCUCGCCGUCAUCCACCGCCAUGGUGCUCUCGACGCGGCGUGCUCAACAUGGUCAAGGAAUGACUUCCAUCGAAAGAGUACUGUACGUGGAGAGGCUGACAGUUGAGUCCACGGCCGCAGCAAGGAAGUGCCUCCUUAUUACGUGCAAAAUAAUGAUUCCUCACCUGACAGCAGGGACCCACCGGACGGGCCACCGUAUUUUGCAAAAAAAAUGUUUCCCCCUGACUGCUGGGACCCACCAGCUACAUCUUCGCACGCAAGGAAGUGCGUCCAUAUUACAGGUAAAAAACGAUUUGCCCCCCUGACUGCUGGGACCCACCAGCUACAUCUUCGCACGCAAGGAAGUUCCUAAUAGUCGGGACCCACCCAGUCGAAGCGUACGUAGCGUUGUGAUUCUAGUCGCGAACGUGUACAUGUCGAUCGGUCUGUCUGCAGGCUGCAGCGAUGAACCGUGGCGUUGCAAGGAAGGAAGGGCACAUGUCAUAGUAGAGGCGCGCACGUGUCGUAGUAGAGGCGCGCACGUAGCAUGUACACGUACGUACAACGGCCAGGGUGCAAGAAAGUAAAUACGGUCACGUACGUACAUACGGGCGGGGUCUCGAACGCCUACUCAUGCAUACGUACGGCCAGGGCUCGUGUACAUGGCUGGGUCGAAACAGAGAACUACGUCGUCGUCGUGUUCAUGGGGAGGCAACCAAAUGCGUCGUGUUCAUCGGGAGGCAACAUAACGCGUGCUAUUCAGCGGGAGCCAACCGGCUUGGACAGAACAGUCGAUGGAAACGAGGCCUGGCGUACCGCAGAACGGAGGAAACAGCCUUGUGUUUGACCGGCCAUGGUUGAAACGGGGUCCUGUUCAUCGUGAGGGGUCUGGCGUAUUGCAAAACAGAGGAAACAGACUUCGGUUUGACCUCCUACGGUCAAAACGGGGUCCUGUCGAUCGGGAGGGGUGUGGCGUACUGAAAAAUGGAGGAAACGGACUUGUGUUGGAGCGCUAUGGUCGAAACGGGGGUCCUGUUCAUCGGGAGGGGUGUGGCGUACCGCAAAACGGGACUCCACGGGAUACUGUUCAUCUCCACCGUCGACCUCCUCCAGCCUCCACCUGCGACUGUUCAUCCACAGGCUUCUGUUCAUCCAGCCUCCACCAAGCGCUCCUCCACCGGCUACUGUUCAACGAGCCCUCUCCACGGGGUCCUGUUCAACCACCCCUCCACGAGUUGCUGCUCAUCCAACCCUCCACCGGCAACUGUUCAACCAGCCCUCCACCGGCUACUGUUCAACCAGCACUCCACGGGGUCCUGUUCAUCCAGCCCUCCAUGGGGUCCUGUUCAUCCACCCCCAACCGGCUCGAUCGAUCAGGGUCUUGUUCAUCUAGCAGCAACACCACGGGGUCCUGUUCAUCCAACCCCCACUGGGAACUGUUCAUCCAACCCCCCCCCCCAACAAUGCUCACUGCUUAUCAAGGGAAGGAGGCAGCAGGUACGAUCGGCUUCAGUUAGCAGCAGUAGCGAACGAAGGAAUCGCUCGAUCGGGUUCAGUUAACAGCCAUCGAUCGAUCGCUCGGGUUCAGUAACGCGUAGCCUGCAGUGCAAUCGCUCGGGUUCAGUUAGGCGAACGCCUCGCUCGGGUUCAAUUAGAGCACAACGCCUCGCACCCAUGCGCGUAUGUGUAUGAGAGAAACACGCAUCGCUCGGCCCUCGACCACCCACCGUAACCAGGAACUCCCUGAUAUUUUCCUCGCCCUCGCUUCUACCACGGUUUUUUCCGUUAUGGACGGCCCAAAGAAUGUCAUGCAGCUGCAUAUCCGGCCCGCCCAGGACGAAAAGCCCAUUUUCUGUCAUGAUUUUUUGUCAUAGAAAUAGGAGCCCACCACAUCUAUGAUGAUACCAGGUUUUGUCACAAUUAUCGUCAUAGAAGUAUCAUAAGCAUGACAGGAAAAAAAUUUGUUCAGCCCAAAAUGUCACAGAUGUGUCUUUUUUUGUAGUGCCUCAGCCAUGAGGGUGAACUAGUCCCUCCUCAUCAUGGAGAGCGUCGGAAUGACGAAGAUGGCCAUCGGUGAUGGUUCCCCCCCUCCGACAGGGUGCCGGAACAGGGCCCCGAUUGGUUUUUGGUGGCUACAGAGGCUUGCGACGGCGGAACUCCCGAUCUAGGUUUCUUUUCAGGGGUUUCUGUAUUUAUAGGAAUUUUUGGCAUCGAUUUCACGUCAGGGGGGGUCUCACAGGGAUUCCACGAGGUAGGGGGCGUGCCCUAGGGGGUGGGGCACCCUCCACCCUCGUGGUGGCCGUGUGACUCCCCUCCGGUAACUCUUCGUUCCAGUAUUUUUUAUAUUUUCCAAAAAAAAAUCUCCGUUCAAUUUCAGGUCAAUUGGACUCCGUUUGAUAAUCCUUUUCUGCGAUACUCAAAAACAAGGAAAAAAAUAGAAACUGGCACUGGGCUCUAGGGUAAUAGGUUAGUCCCAAAAAACAUAUGAAAUAACAUAUAAAUGCAUAUAAAACAUCCAAGAUACGUUAAUAUAAUAGCAUAGAACAAUCAAAAAUUAUAGAUACGUUGGAGACGUAUCAACAUGCUAGACCAGGUUGGAGCGCAUGCGAUCACAUGCCUCCCUCCCGCCUGCUCAAUGUGGGGGAACUGCCACCCGACGUCCUGAACCUUCCUGCGUGACUGUCCGUUUUGUGAGGGAGGUGCCACAUCAAUGUUGUGCACUGGGUAUUUAAACAUCACACCACCCUUUCAUUGAUAUUUUCAGGCCUCACCUAGGCCGGUGCAGUCUCUGGGCCCUCGCUUGGGCGGUUUUCAAUGCGGCGUCCAUCUGUGGGCCCGCGCGGUCUACGACAUUGACUGGAUGCCAGAGGGUUUUGACCGGGGGAUAUUUCUCUUGUUCUGUGCCAUGGCAGGUUAUCCCGACAUGCCAGACCAGGUUGGAGCACAUGCGAUCACACGACUCCCUCCCGCCUGCUCGAUGUGGGGGGGGCCAACCACCCGACAUCCUGAACCCUCCCGCGUGACUGUCCAAUUUGUGAGGGAGGUGCCACAUCAAUGUUGUGCACUGGGUAUUUAAUCAUCAGGCUGCCCUUUUUCGUUGAUAUAUCCCGACCCCAUGUGAGCUGGUGCGGUCUCCAGGCCCUCCCUGGGGUGGUUUUCCACGUCGCAGCCAUCCGUGGGCCCGCGCGGUCUAUGAUGUUGACUGGAUGCCAGAGAGGUUUGACCGGGGUUUAUUUCCAUUGUUUUGUGUCACGAUAGGUCAUGCCGACAUGCCAGACCAGAUUGGAGCGCAUGCGAUCACACGACUCCCUCCCGCUUGUUCGAUGUGGGGGGACUAGCACCAUAUGUCUUGAACGUUCCUGCGUGAUUGUCCGGUUUGUGAGGGAGGUGCCACAUUAAUGUUGUGCACUGGGUAUUUAAACAUCGAGUCACCCUUUCGUUGAUAUAUCUCGGCCCCGCGCAGGCCGGUGCGGUCUCCGGGCCAUCCCUAGGCCAGUUUUCGAUGCCGCGACCAUCCGUGGGCCUUGGCAGUCUAUGACGUUGACCAGAUGCUAGAGGGGUUUGACCGAGGGGUAUUUCUCUUGUUCUAUGUCACGGUAGGUCAUGCCAGACCAGGUUGGCGCGCAUGCGAUCACAUGACUCCCCCCUGCUGGUUGUGGGGGGACUACCACCCUACGUCCUGAACCUUCUUGCGAAGGUUUUUGACGCCGCGAGCAUCCUUGGACCCGAGCGGUUUCCAACACUUGUACCAUAGUCCUCUUAGAUAUAUGUGGGGGUAAACACACGAUGUAACCUAUGCCAACAUAAUAGCAAAGGAACGCAGGGGGAGCCGACAAAUGUGUUCCGGCGCCCUGUCGGAUGAUGUGCGUUAUUGUGACGGUGUCACGGGGAGGAGCGCCCGUAGUCAGGCCCCGGGGAUGUAUCUGAAUCGGUGAAUCUCGUUAACAAAUCUCGGUGUCGUUUUCGUGUGAUUGCUUUUAGUCCUUGUUAGAUCGAGCGCGCGUCACAGAUUUUUCUAACAUUGAUGAAAUGGGAUCGAAAGUGCGAUGAAAACUAGCCUAGACAGAAUGUGUGAGAAACAGGGGGAAGGAAAAGAAAUGCAACAAGUAAUUAUAAGUCCAACUCACCACUCUAAUCAUUUUUUGCACUGCAUAUAUUUUGUGCAUGGUAAGCCGAGUGCAUUUUUUUGGGUACUCGGCUUACGGCCACCGCCGUCACGGAGCCGUUAGCAGACAGCGCGCGGGCCACGUGGCAGUUACAUUGCCGUGUCUCUCUUGUAAGCCGAGUACUUUUUUGCUGCACCUACGGCUUAUCAGUAAGUAAGCCGUGAAUAUUGUCUAAGCCGAGUAUCGUCAUACUGGUUCCACGACGUACGGAGCGGUAAGCCGUGUAUUGUUUUUUCGUCGUGUGGCUUAUUGUGCAUACUCGACUUACGUGGAAACAAGCCGUGAGUGAUAUGCCUAUUUUGCAUCAUGAUUUUAUAUCAAUAUUCAUUGCAUUAUGGGUUGUUAUUACACGCUAUACCACAUACUUAUGCCUUUCCUCUCUUAUUUUAUAAGGUUUACAUGAAGAGGGAGAAUGCUGGCAGCUGGAAUUCUGGACUGGAAAAAGAGCAAAUAUUAGAGACCUAUUCUGCACAACUCCAAAAAUCCUGAAACUCCACGGAAAUCAGUUUUGGAAUAUAUUAAAAAUAUUUGACAAAGAAAGCACCAGAGGGGCGCCACCAGCCAGCCACAAGGGUGGAGGGCGCACCCUACCCCCCUGGGCGUGCCCCCUGGCAGGCUCCCGACGUCCAUAUUCUGCUAUAUGGUGUCUUUUUCCCUGGAAAAAAAAUCCAAAGGAAGCUUUCAGGCGAAGCGCCGUCGUCUCGAGGCGGAACCUGGGCAGGACCAAUCUAGGGCUCCGGCGGAGCUGUUCUGCCGGGGAAACAAGCCUCCGGGAGGGGGAAAUCAUCGCCAUAGUCAUCACGAGGGGGUCAAUCUCCAUCAACAUUUUCACCAACACCAUCUCCUCUCAAACCCUAGUUCAUCUGUUGUAUCUGAUCUUUGUCUCAAAACCUCAGAUUGGUACCUGUGGGUUGCUAGUAGUGUUGAUUACUCCUUGUAGUUGAUGCUAGUUGGUUUAUUCGGUGGAAGAUCAUAUGUUCAGAUCCUUAAUGCUUAUUAAUACCCCUCUGAUUAUGAACAUGAAUAUGCUUUGUCAGUAGUUACGUUUGUUCCUGAGGACAUGGGAGAAGUCUUGUUAUAAGUAAUCAUGUGAAUUUGGUAUUCGUUCGAUAUUUUUAUGAGAUGUAUGUUGUCUCUCCUCUAGUGGUGUUAUGUGACCAUCGACUACAUGACACUUCAUCAUGAUUUGGACCUAGGGAAAGGCAUUGGGAAGUAAUAAGUAGAUGAUGGGUUGCUAGAGUGACAGAAGCUUAAACUCUAGUUUAUGCAUUGCUUCGUAAGGGGCUGAUUUGGAUCCAUAAGUUUCAUGCUAUGGUUAGGUUUACCUUAAUUCUUCUUUCAUAAUUGCGGAUGCUUGCGAGGAGGGUUAAUCAUAAGUGGAGGCUUGUCCAAGGAAGGACAACACCCAAGCACCGGUUCACCCACAUAUCAAAUUAUCAAAGUAACGAACGUGAAUCAUAUGAGCAUGAUGAAAACUAGCUUGACGAUAAUUCCCAUGUAUCCUCGGGAGCGCUUUGCUUUAUAUAAGAGUUCAUCCAGGCUUGUCCUUUGCUACAAAAAGGAUUGGGCCACCUUGGUGCACCUUGUUUACUUUUGUUAUUUAAUACCCGUUACGAAUUACCUUAUCACAAAACUAUCUGUUACCGAUAAUUUCAGUGCUUGCAGAGAAUACCUUACGGAUUUGUUUCUGCAGGAAGUUUCCCAGGGACCUUGCUGUAUUUUUUGAUUUCGCUUGGGUGUUUUCUGCUUUAGGGGACAGCUGUCCCAUAUCUGGUUGUUUCCACAAUGUUGCUUUUGCAAUCCUUGCUUAAUUAAUCAGAUAUAUGAUUUUUCAAAAAAAAUAAAGAAAAAGCAAUUUGUAGGCAUACCGCAGUAUGCAGUACACUCGGACAAUGUUUUUCAGCAUUUCUAUUUUCCUCUUAUAUGAUGAAAAAAAAAGAACAUUUUAGCCGAGAUCAGUGGCGAAUGUCACAGAAUUGAACUUGGGAUUUCAUUUUCGAAUUCCAGCGAACAGGUCCCAGGUAGAACGAAAUCCCUCCCCAGACCCUAUCAGUUGGGUGGAUUUGACGGACCCUCCCGAUCCCGUCCCCUCUCCUCCUCCUCCCCCUCCACCCGCCGCCACCCUCUCCUCCGGCCAGAUCGCCCUGUCGCUCCGUCUCGAUUCCUUUCGUCUGCCAAGGCAGACCCGCCUCGGUCCCUCUCCUCCGCCCAGAUCUUCCCAUCCCGCUCCAUCUCCUUCGCCGAGGACGACAUCCCUCUCCUCCGGCAAGGUCGCCGCCGGUAAGGCUUCUCCUCCGACUCUCCUUCCCACUACCUUCUAUCGCGUCUCGCAACCCUAACCAGUUCACUCGAUCGACAGCAGCUCCUCGCCCUCGUCAAUCCCUUCUCAUCCACUGCAAUCUUUUGCCGGAUCCGUCCACCCUUUGCCGCCUCUACUGCAGAUCGAUCCUGUGGCACCGCCCUGCAGAUCCCGACCUCCAAGCCAAGACCUAGUUCCACCUUCGGCACCUUGCAAGGUAUAAGCUCCGUCCAUGGCUUGGCUUCUUAAUUAAAGAAGAUCUUGGAUACAUUAACAACUAGUACUAGCUGCUGAUGCACUUGAUUGAAAAGUGGCUCCAUUGGCUGCUUAAUUUCUGCAUAUGCAUGAUUCACACCAUUAUACCAUAAUAAGGCUGUCAUAAUUCUAAGGAUUAUCUCAAGUUUCAGUACUAGUAGAAACUUGAACCUGAGCAUACAGCUUCGUGCCAGCUAGACUCAUGUUUUCACAGUAAUCAUCCAGGCAGGUAAUUCCUUGGUAAGUACUACCGGUCAUUAGAUUCCACCUGUGGUCUAAAACCAAAUGAAUACGCCAGCCAGAACCACCAGCAUGACUUUCAGGAUUUUUCAAGUUAAGCCGCUAGCCAACUGAACCAUAUUUUGAAUGGUUAUUUUUUGACAGUAAACUGUAGGGGAGGCCCCCAAAAGUGUAUAAUUUUUGCAAAGGGUAACUAUGGCCAGAUUGUCAUAAAGAAUUAAGCAAAUGCUGACGUUUUGUCUGCAUCUUCAUCAGCCAUUCAGCCCACAAGAAUGGCAGGCUGCUCAAAGAUUGUAACAAAAUUCUAAACUUAGAAUAGAAGAGUAAAUUUGUAAUGGCGACAACACAGAGUGCGCAUUCAACACAUACAACAUUAAGUACAUACAAAUUUGGGAAAUAGCCUCCAGAUUUGUACUUAGGUAUGGAUCAGAACCGCCAAACCUAAUCGUAGUCUAUGCAGCACCUUGUCUCCUUCAUGAUCAACAAAAGAAUCUGCAUAUGUAUCAUCACUAGUGAUACAAAGGUGUUUUGUAUUAUGAGAGUCCAGGAAGAUUAAGAUUGGCCCCCCUUGUCAUAGCUUUUUGUUCUUCUUGUUGUUGCUUAAUUCCUCUUCAAUUUAUGUUCUUACUUCUUUUAUUUUUCAAAAAUCCUGAAAGCAUUCUGCAAAGUCUGUAAACUAGAUUUCUACCAAUCUUCUUAAAUCAUUCUCAUUUCCUAAAUCUCCUUGAAAAGAUGCUAUGGUCUCAGAAAGCGCUUGACGAACGGCUCUAACGAUAAAAUCCUGCACACAAAUAAAACGAAGCAAUUAAAACACGGCAGCUAGCUAAUAGUAUGCAUGUCAGAACCAAUAAUUCAAUGCUCUUAAAAAUCGUUAUAUAAUGAGAAAUAUAUCCAUUUUCUAGCAUUAUUAGUAAGAAAUUGCAAUAAAUAGUAGGAUGUAAUAACUAGAAUACUCAUCGAUAUUUACCUGGGUAUGAUCUGAGGAGUACUGCCUUUUAGUAUGGCAACUCCUGGUGGGAAUUGCAUCAGCAAAAUAAGAUUUAUCUCUGUCUAGAUUCAGGUUCUCCCACCCCCUGCAUUCCUUAAGUUAAGAAUUGUAAGAAGAAAUUGCGCAAUUUCAUACUCCUUUUAACAAGGAAUCCUUAAUUGCUCCUGAAAUAGAGGUGCAUGCAUCGGAUAAUAAUAUAUAAUGAUAAGUGAAACCCUAAACUUCGUAGGAGUCUUUACCUGUCAAAACUAGCCUGAGACCAGAUCCGUCAUUAGCAAAUAUAGGAGAUAGAACACCAGGAGUGUCUAACACAUAUUUGGAUGACUAGCAACCUGAAAACUAGAAACUUCCUAUUGUUAAGAUUUAAAUGACACAUUACAAUCAUAUAAAUAGUUCCCGAGCCAUGGGAUAUUGAUGGUAGCAGACACAAGAAGGUUAUAGGUCACCAAUCUUAUUUGUGCUAGUAGGCUAAAAAGGACAAACUAUGCUUGCCAAAGAUACUACACAACAAUGCAUCAAACCUUAGAUAUAGUGUGUAUGUCAGAUCAUGACACCAUUGUAAAACAAAUCAACAUGUUUAUUUGUCCAAAAUAUACCCCCACGACCACCAAGCCCGUCGAAUAAAACAAUAAUCUCAUUGAAACAAAAUUUUGUAACUAUGUACUUUGUGGUAUGUACAAUCGUCUUGAAGCAAUGAACUUAUUUUUCGCUUAAUUCUUGAAGCAUAAUUGACAAAUGAUAAUGUUAGCUCCUCAAUUAACCAUCGAUUUCGAGUCGCGCGACUCGUCGUCGACUAGUCGAUGAGUCGCAAAAAAAUGUUGACUCAACUUAGUGUCGACUCAUGACUCGAGUCAUGACUAGUCGCAACGGCAGGCUCGACUUUUUCCGAGUGGCUACCCCAGAACGACUCAUCCAAGUCGCGACUCGAAAACCAUGCAAUUAACCCAUUGCCUCAUGUUUUCCGCAAAACAAAACAAAAAACUAUUGCCUUAUGUUAUUAGGUAGUUCUGCAGUAAUAUACAAAUGAAUUUGACAUAUGCAGUUGAUCCAACAAACAACACUAACAUGGAGUUUGUGUAAAUUCAACCGUAAUACAACAUAUGAGUCAGACUUAGGUUUAUGUGACUGUGUGAGCCAUGAGGCGUCUGUACUUUUCGCCUCUCACGCUUCAUGUUGUGUGCUCAUUAAGGCCCUAAUUGGAAUAAAUAAAUUUGUAGAACGGGCUCAUUAUCUUAUGGGACCGUUUGGUGCAACAGUUAAGAAUCGCAACUCCGUUUAUUUGUUCAAGAGAGCCCACAUCCGAGCAUCACCUACACCUUGUCGACUCGAAGGGACCAGAUCCAUGCUGCUUGCCCUGUUGCAUCUUUGCCUGCACUGACUGGCAUGCACUGCUCCGCUGUCUUGAAUCAUGCAGCUUGCUUCUGAUCGAACAUAUACUAUGGCGUAAAUGUGGGCCAAACUGUUCAUUGUGUUCACAAGAAUUUAAAAUUUCUUCAUAACUAUAGGCAGGUUAGUAAUCCAGCCAAACAAAUGGUAAAAUUUGAAGUGAAAACCCCAGUUUUGUUCAUAAUUUAUACUCCCUCCGUUUUUGUAUACAAGGCCACUAUCUCAUUUUUCAGAUGCCAAGAAAACAAAGCCAACUAAUAAAUAGCACCAUUAAUUGUGUGGAAAACCGAAAAUCUCUCAUGUUCCGGGCUAAUUAUUUUUUUUGCAUGUGGUGCCUCUUUCUCUAUUGCUGCAUGCAACAUAUUCAUUAAUAACCACCAUCGUGCGAGGCAAAAAUCUAAUCAAUUCUUCUUGGGAAGGGAUAGUAGCCUUGUAUAGAUGCAAAUUGUAUUUUUGAUAGUGGCAUUGUAUUUAAAAACGGAGGAAGUAGUAUUUUUUUUAUCAAACAUGAAAUAUGGUGUGAAAAUUGGAUUUUUGUUGUAAAGUUCAGUUUGUAGAACCUUGGUGUCAUACUUGUGAUUGAAAAGGGGCGUACACAGUGCUGAAAGCUCCCACACAAGGUGUGGUCUGGGGAAGGCAAUUUCUGGACGCCUUACUCCUGCAUAAUAAUUCUGCAAGGAGGCUGGUUCGAACCCAGGACCUCCAGGCCACAAGUGGAGAGACUACCCACUGCGCCAUGCCCACCCUUCUGUCAUACUUGUGAUUUAACUGCUAAUAAAUUGUUCUUUUGAUGCUGCUUUAGAUCAGAGUUUAAUAUUGUUUAAUGUACUAAAUAUUUCAUUUCUGUCUUCAUAGUUGCUGAAGUUCAAAUUAGGCAAUGGAUCUGGACACAGAGAAUCGUCUAGCUUCAUUACUCCUUGAAGAAGCACGGAGAUUACAGUCAGAGGCUGACAGGGAAGGUGUUCAUGCAUAUCUGCGAAAGCCCAAUGUUAGGCAUCGUCCAAACUCCCGGUUCCUCACAGCCACAGUUCGUGGAGUUCAACAAGGUUAGCAUCAUGUUUCUUUUACAUUAUCCUUGCCUCCUUGUGUUGAUUACCUGAUCAAAGCAGCUGUAAUCAUGCUUUUUACUGAAGAAAUGUUUUUUUAUGUCCUUGAAACCUUCUCAUUAGGAGAAUUCACCCAAAACUAAUCACAACAAUUGAAGGCAGUUACAAAUUUGCAAUCAUGUAGGCACCACUUUAAAUUGCUUCCUCUAACUCGGGGUGGUUAACUAAAUAAGCACUAAUGACUACUCCCUCCGUCCGGAAAUACUUGUCCUUGAAAUGGUUGUAUCUAGACUUAUUUUAGUUAUAGAUACAUCCAUUUUCUCCAUUUUGAAGACAAGUAUUUCCGGACGGAGGGAGUACUUUAUAAGUAUUUUUGAACCAAAAGUGUAAAUCUGUGCGCGAGCACAGAUGCUCGGCUUAUCUCGCACGUUGUUUCUCUCCUAGAUUCGUGAAGGUUCUGGUACUGUACCUUGUAUAAAGAUCGGUAUUUAUUUCCUCCUUCACUGUUGAUCUGGCCCACACUGGUCGCUGAGUUAUUGUGCCGGAUACCCACAGAUGUCUUCUGGCCCAGACGUCGUUUCACGGUGGGCCAUCUGCACCUUUCUCCACCAUCCUGAGCAGUCCCAUUAACUCGUCCUCAGCUACCAACAAAAUCCUCCUGCUGAUUUCUUGCCGGGACAAGUUCAUCAACUUCGUCUCUCACACCCGGAUCUACAAGUGCGUCAAGAAAGAUCCUUUGCCACAAAUCUAUAUGUAAUGACUUGAUUAUAGCCUAAAUCUUGUCCCUGCUAACCUUAUCAGUACAUGCACUCCACCUAUGUUUUUAAGGCGGUAAGGCGAGGCGAGGCGCUGGGGGGGCGCCUCACUGCCUAAGCGCUGAGGCAUAAGGCGAGGCGACGCCUUAGAGACUUGUAAGCAACAGAAUUAAGUAGAAUUUGGUAGGCAUUAAGCAACUAGGCAUACAGCCAUACACACCUUGCAACUGAUUGUUGUAGAGCCCCCAUCCUCUUUGCACUUGCUUUUCUCCCCAACAGAAUUCUGCAUCAACAUGAAGUCAUGAACAAAUAUGUUAGAAUAAUGUAUCACUUACCAGUGCACAUUCCACAAAAAAUAGAAAUAAAAGUGAGGCAGCGAACAAAAGUGGAAAGAAAGAUAGCAAGUAUGAGUGCAACUGCAAUCUGCAAUGCAUGGCAUAUUACAUAACCAUUAACCAAUUCAAAUGACACAAGUCCAGUAGUCCACAUAAGACAAACAGAAUAAUAGAUAACUCCAGCAUAGCAAAAGGGAUAAAGGUGGCCAGCUCAGCUCUCUCAUGUCUCUCCACUCUCAAAGUCUCAAUCAAAAGUCAUCAUCAUCAAACUCAUUGGCAUUGGUGUUGUCUUCACCAUCUUGGGCAACAUUAGUUGGCUCUUGAUCGUCAUUGCUCACAUCAUCAUCAUCCUCAACGUAGUCUGAAUCCUCCCCC
rnacentral:lncRNA from 1 species